AAUUUUGGACAAUGGGGGCAACUCUGAUGCAGCGACGCCGCGUGAACGAUGAAGGCCUUCGGGUCGUCAAGUUCUGUCCUUGGGGACGAUAAUGACGCUACCCAAGGAGGAAGCCCCGGCUAACUACGUUCCAGCAGCCGCGGUAAUACGUAGGUGCCGAGCGUUGUCCGGAAUUAUUGGGCGUAAAGGGUUCGUAGGCGGUCUUUUAGGUCAGAUGUGAAAGGUCACGGCUCAACCGUGGUAAGCAUUUGAAACUGAAAGUCUUGAGUUAAGGAGAGGAAAGUGGAAUUCCUAGUGUAGCGGUGAAAUGCGUAGAUAUUAGGAGGAAUACCAGUGGCGAAGGCGACUUUCUGGACUUAUACUGACGCUGAGGAACGAAAGCGUGGGGAGCAAAC
rnacentral:rRNA from 1 species